rnacentral:rRNA from 1 species
UACGUAGGGUGCGAGCGUUAAUCGGAAUUACUGGGCGUAAAGCGUGCGCAGGCGGUGAUGUAAGACAGGUGUGAAAUCCCCGGGCUCAACCCGGGAACUGCGUCCGAUACUGGCAGGCUUGAAUCCGGGAGAGGGAUGCGGAAUUCCAGGUGUAGCGGUGAAAUGCGUAGAUAUCUGGAGGAACACCGGUGGCGAAGGCGGCAUCCUGGACCGGCAUUGACGCUGAGGCGCGAAAGCCAGGGGAGCAAACGGG